GUGCCUAACACAUGCAAGUCGAACGAAGCAAUUAAGAUGAAGUUUUCGGAUGGAAUCUUGAUUGACUGAGUGGCGGACGGGUGAGUAACGCGUGGAUAACCUGCCUCACACUGGGGGAUAACAGUUAGAAAUGACUGCUAAUACCGCAUAAGCGCACAGUGCCGCAUGGCAGUGUGUGAAAAACUCCGGUGGUGUGAGAUGGAUCCGCGUCUGAUUAGCCAGUUGGCGGGGUAACGGCCCACCAAAGCGACGAUCAGUAGCCGACCUGAGAGGGUGACCGGCCACAUUGGGACUGAGACACGGCCCAAACUCCUACGGGAGGCAGCAGUGGGGAAUAUUGCACAAUGGGCGAAAGCCUGAUGCAGCGACGCCGCGUGAGUGAAGAAGUAUUUCGGUAUGUAAAGCUCUAUCAGCAGGGAAGAAAAUGACGGUACCUGACUAAGAAGCCCCGGCUAACUACGUGCCAGCAGCCGCGGUAAUACGUAGGGGGCAGGCGUUAUCCGGAUUUACUGGGUGUAAAGGGAGCGUAGACGGCGAAGCAAGUCUGAAGUGAAAACCCAGGGCUCAACCCUGGGACUGCUUUGGAAACUGUUUUGCUAGAGUGUCGGAGAGGUAAGUGGAAUUCCUAGUGUAGCGGUGAAAUGCGUAGAUAUUAGGAGGAACACCAGUGGCGAAGGCGGCUUACUGGACGAUAACUGACGUUGAGGCUCGAAAGCGUGGGGAGCAAACAGGAUUAGAUACCCUGGUGGUCCACGCCGUAAACGAUGAAUGCUAGGUGUUGGGGGGCAAAGCCCUUCGGUGCCGCCGCAAACGCAGUAAGCAUUCCACCUGGGGAGUACGUUCGCAAGAAUGAAACUCAAAGGAAUUGACGGGGACCCGCACAAGCGGUGGAGCAUGUGGUUUAAUUCGAAGCAACGCGAAGAACCUUACCAAGUCUUGACAUCCCCCUGACGGGCCGGUAACGCGGCCUUUCCUUCGGGACAGGGGAGACAGGUGGUGCAUGGUUGUCGUCAGCUCGUGUCGUGAGAUGUUGGGUUAAGUCCCGCAACGAGCACAACCCUUAUCCUUAGUAGCCAGCACGCGAAGGUGGGCACUCUAGGGAGACUGCCAGGGAUAACCUGGAGGAAGGUGGGGAUGACGUCAAAUCAUCAUGCCCCUUAUGAUUUGGGCUACACACGUGCUACAAUGGCGUAAACAAAGGGAAGCGAGACAGUGAUGUGGAGCAAAUCCCAAAAAUAACGUCCCAGUUCGGACUGUAGUCUGCAACCCGACUACACGAAGCUGGAAUCGCUAGUAAUCGCGAAUCAGAAUGUCGCGGUGAAUACGUUCCCUGGUCUUGUACACACCGCCCGUCACACCAUGGGAGUCAGCAACGCCCGAAGUCAGUGACCCAACCGAAAGGAGGGAGCUGCCGAAGGCGGGGCAGGUAACUGGGGUGAA
rnacentral:rRNA from 1 species